CGAACGGGUGAGUAACGCGUGAGGAACCUGCCUCAAAGAGGGGGACAACAGUUGGAAACGACUGCUAAUACCGCAUAAGCCCACAGGUCGGCAUCGACCAGAGGGAAAAGGAGCAAUCCGCUUUGAGAUGGCCUCGCGUCCGAUUAGCUAGUUGGUGAGGUAACGGCCCACCAAGGCGACGAUCGGUAGCCGGACUGAGAGGUUGAACGGCCACAUUGGGACUGAGACACGGCCCAG
rnacentral:rRNA from 1 species